ACAAUGAUCUCCACACCCUCACGGAUGAACGCUCAUUCACCCGUCGAUCCCGAGCUUCUCUUACAAUGCACGUGCACAGCCUCUAGCUCUCAGCGGACGCAGUAACGACGGAAGAAGAAAAGAGGACGAAAGAUAGAGCGAAGAACGAGAGAAGAACAGAACCAUAAUCUUGGCUGGAAGAUGGCACCACACCCAUGGGGGGUCGCAGAAUACGUCGUGGACUGUGCACGAACCACUUCCAACGAGCACUAGCCACCUUUCACUUCCAACUAUUACUCCACGCGGGUGGAUUCUCUGUGCAUAGUUUAUUUCUCGAUUUAAAAAUCGUUGGAGAUCGUCUCUGUCCAAGGAACUUGCUACCGUAAAAUAUUCGAGAGAAAAGAGAUAAAUUUUUUAAUUAUAUUAUACGUUUGAAUUUACGAAUCUUCUAAAGUAAAUCAUUAUAAGAUAAUAUACAUUAAUAUACACGAGGAAAUGGAGUUAUGAUGAAUUCUACAGAACCUGUUACGAUCUUGGCGGGAAUGCGGCCAGGACACCGCGAAACGAGAACAUUUAUGACAAUGCCGGGAAUGAGAUUCGUCUCACGAAUUAUUAUGACACGGUCUAGGUUAUCUCGGUCCACAUAUUAUGCAUAAAGCACAAUCGAAACAGAAGGAAACUUAAUCCAGUUCCCUUCUUCAAACAUUUCAUCCUUAUAACACUUUUCAUUUAUAAUACAAAAUUAGAUAUUUAUGCAUAAUUUAAGUGUACAAAAAUGUACAUGACAUACAAAAAAAUAUAUUCCAAGUAUAACAAAUGUUAUUAAUUUAUGAUAUUGAAGAAUUAUAUUGAAGAAUGUAACAGAUUUUUAUCUAAGCUUUGUUUCUUAACAUUUAUUUUGUCAAUUCAUACAAAUAUUUACAUUUAUCAAUUUCAAAAUUGCCACUUUUGAACUUGUGGAUUAUUAUAAAAAAACAUGAAAAUUCUAUCUUUCUAAAUUUUCUUAAAAUUCAUGAUUUAUCGUAAUCCAAUUCAUCGGGGAAUCGUUCAAAAAUCGUUCGAGGAGAGGCUCGAACGAAAUUACAGACUUUGAAUGGAGCCAAUCUCGAUCGCCUGGCAGUUUGAAAAAAUUAAAAAGCGUCCAGAGAAAAAGAAAAGAAGGAUGUUCGUAAGCCACGAGGACUUAAGUGGGUUACCAAGCUUGUUAUCGAUAUCCGAGCUCGGCGUUCGAUCGACUUUCAAGGGUGGUUCUCUUUGCAACGAUACUGGUUCGACCGGAUCGUAAGAAGGCUGAAUGAAGAGGACCUCGAGGAAGAGUAGGGCUGAAAAACACGGAAUACAGAGAAGAUAGAGAAAGAGAGAGAGAGAGAGAGAGAGGUCUUUAUAUCCAUGGUGUCCACAGAACAAUGUCCAUUCACUCGAAAUGGGAUCCAGUCUGAUCUCUGCUUCGAAUAUCCUCCCGAUUAAAGGGGAAUAGAAAGACGAAACACCUCGAUUCUUCUUUGCUUCCUAAAGUGUAAAGCGAGGAUAUUGCCUGAAAAUGAGAAUUUUCAAGAUUACUUUGGAUAUACGGCUGUUGUAAGAUUCUCUACUCUACUUGUUCUCAAAUUGGCAUACGUGAAUUUACGAUAAUUUAUUGAUGAAUGGAUUUAAUUUUUUAAUAUGCAUAAUGGAGCAAGUGAAAGUAAUAUAAAUAAUGUGCAAUCACUUUUCUUUCUUAUACAUUCAAUAAUUUUUUAAAACAAUUUUCCAGUGAUUCUCGAUUAAAUUCUAAACUCACCAUUAACGAUUCUUACUUGACAGUGAUUCUUGCUUAGACGCAUUAGAUAAAUUAUAGUUUCAAGACGAAAAUGAUAGAGAGAUAUUCUAAUUAGCGAUUAUAUAAGACUGUUCAUCUUGGAUACAAUUUUCGAAGGAAGGAAAGUUGGAAAAAUGAAAAGAGUUUAAGCUAUUAGGGGACUAACGAGCCUGGUGACUCGAGUAGAAAUCAGAGAAAGAGAUAUCUGGCUGCCGGUUGAUGAAUGGUCGAGAUCAUUCCUUAUAAGAAACGCUUAAUCUCCUCUGGAGGCAGGAACGGGUCCUCUCGCAAGAUUUAUCGUUUCAUUUCGCCUCUACCGGUUUCGAUUUCGUUUCCGUUUACACGAUCCACCGAUCGAACGAUCAAAAUUCUUCUGGAAAACAUUAAAAUUUUCGAUUAUUACUUUCGAAUUAUUAAUUUUUUAAUUCUCAUUUCACGGAUAAAUUGCGAAGAUUUCAAUUUUCUUUCUCCUUUUUCUCUGACCAGAUAUCGAAGAAGAAAAAUAUUAAAGAAGAAUGCAAAAUAACAAAAAAAACUAUGGACUACGGUAAAAGUUAGAAUCGCAAUAAAAAAUCUAAGGAAAAAUACUCGUCCGUAAUUGGUUGAUAAUUGUGACGUAUUUCGAAACAUAACCAAUCAAAAUCCUUCGCGCAUUGCAUAUCACAAAUCGUUCCCUUUUAAACGAAUAAUGAAUAAACAUAACCGAGAUCGAUCAGAUUACCGUUAAUUCUAAACAUGAGAAUAAACGUGUAAGAUUUCUUUUUUUUUUUUUUUUUUAGUUGUGCAGAGUCGACGAGUAUUCUUUUUAUUUUUGUCUUAUUCUUUUUUCAGGAACAGGAAAAAGAAUUAAUGGGUUUAUAGGCAUGACAAUGUGACGAGAUAAGAUCAGAGGCCUCAUUUUACUUGUCCUGGAGACCACACGGUGAUCAUAUCACGCGGAAUCGCAUCGUGUAUCUCUGGUGAAAGAGUUUCUUCGGCCUUUUAUCGAUUUUUGAUCGCGACUUUGUGGCAGGGAGUUUAUAAGCGUCAGAGUCUCUUCAGACAGAUACUGUGCAGACUCGAGGCAUCUAGUAAGUAAGUAAGUACUCGAGACUGCGACUUUCUAAUCGAGAUAUCGAAUGUUCCAGGGAGGAAAGAUCGAGUGGGCUUUGAUGAGUCUCGGAUUCGAUGAGUCUCGUGCGAUUAAUAUUAGAUCAUCCUAUGUGUAUAACAAUAAUGCAGUAAAUAUAUCGAAGAUUGAUAUUAGGUUAUGUAUAAAUGAUAUGAUAUAAUAAAUAUCGAAGACUCGUGUGAUUAAUAUAGUAAGUAUAGUGAGUACGUAAAUUCGAUAAAAUAAUAAUGACGAGUCUCGUACAAGAUUGAUAUUAGAUCAUCCAAGGAAUAUAUAAUAAUAUAUAUACAUAUAUAUUAGGUUAUGUAAGUAGUAACACAUAGAUUUGAUAAAAUAAUAAUGAUGAAUUUCGUAUAAUAUCAGGUUUUAUAAAUAGUAUAAUAUAAUAUGUAUAACCUAGUCUCCUGUAAUUAAUAUUAGAUUCUAUAAAUAGAAUUCUAUAAAUAGUAAUGUUAAUUUAUAUAAUUACUUUUCAAGUAAUUAGCGAGGAAAGGAAAGAGAAGCUAAUGUGAGAGAUCCAGAAAAUUGAGUAUUUUUUCAGAACAGAAUACUAUAUUGCUUUAACUGUCGCAAGAAAAAUCAUAGAUUUUACAGAUGGCAAAAAGAUACAAAAAUUCUAAACCAUCUUGAAAAAAGGAUACAUAUAGCAAAUUGACUGAAAAAAGAUAUGAAAGAGAACACUUUUCUCAAAUCCAAUUACAAAUUUCGUCAAAAAUUCGUUCAAAAUUCAUUAAUUUCAUAUUCGUAAUCGAAGGAAGAUAAAUUCAUGAGAGAAAGGAAGAAAAAAUAGAAGAAAAUGGCCCUCCUUCUCCAUUCUCUUCGAACCCCCUAAGGGAAGGUAGUGGAUUCGGUUUAAGCUUGCAAACUGGAAAAUACGGCUACAAUGCGGCGGCUGCUUCCUCCCAGAUGCAUAAAUUCGAUAAGACCGGUAGAUAGUGACGUAACUCGCAUCCAAGCAAGAAAACGCGCAACAAAUUUCCUCUCUGAAUGCAACCCCAACCAGAAACGAAAGCAAUAACUUUUCCCUCGAAUUUCUUUUCCCCCUACGUUCUCAGACGCCAAAUAUUCUUCUUCCCAAAUUUUUGCAAAUUCAUUAAAUUUUUUAUUUUCCAAUUUAUUUCUGAAAUUUGCAAAAAUACAAACGUUUUUUAUUUUUUAAA